CUUCUCCUCCUCUUGUCCCACAGCCGCGACCCCCAACCCUCUCGCUCCUCCUCCGUCUCAAUCUCUCGAUCCCCGACCACCACUGCCGCCGUCCUUCGUCCUCUCCCCCAACCUCGUCCGCCGGCGACCCCUCCCCUCCCCUUCUCUCCCACGACCGCGGUCGGAUCCGCGCUCCCUUCUCGCUCGUGACCUAGACCUAGCCGCAUGGCACGACCAUGGCCAUGGCGGCGGCCAGAUCCGCCCCCUCCCCUGCUCCGUUCCCUCGAUGCCGGCGGUCAUUCUCCCUUAGGCCACCCGCCCCCCUUCCUCCUCCCGCAGCAGCUCACCCGCAGCCUUCCCCGUGGCUCUAGGGUUUUGGGGGCAGUGGCGCCUCCAUUGCCGGCAUGGCUCCGGUGACUCUACAGCCUCCCCCCCUGACAUCUACCAAUCUGAGACAGCUGUGUCUCCGACUUGUCGCUUCCCAAUGGCUGCUGCUGGACCGGAUCCCUCCUCUUUGCCUGGAUGCUUCCUCGACUCUCCCUCCUCCCCAACAAGGCCGCCGUCGGACACCUUCUUCCCCGACAGCGCCGGCCGCAGAUCCACUCCUCCAUUUUCUUCUCACGGUUAUCCGCAGCAUAUAUGACUCAGAUCUAACCUUUUUGUUGUGUGUCUGGUUUUUCAGGAUAUGGGUGGUGCAGUGGCCGCAAGAACACGAUCGGCAGCGUCUAGGUCGGGUCGACUAGGGCGGCUGACAGCGGUGGCUACUUCCUUACAAGGACUACAAGCUCGCCCAUGACUACACGACCCUCCAGGUCCCAUCUGCAUGCUCGCUCCCUCCUCCCUGCCUCCUGCAUGUACCUGUUUAGGCCGCAAGCGGACUUGACAUGCUUAUGAGUUCAACAUAUGAGCUCUCUGACAUUUACCAUGCGCUGUGUUAUGUUCAGCAUCUUAUGUGUCAUGGAAAUGUCCUUGUGUUGCAUAGUAGGCCCUGAAUUAUUCAUGUUGUUGGCGAUGAGAUGUCCCUGUUUUGCUCUGUACUAUGCACUGCUAUAUUUAUAGUUUGAAAGCGUGAGUUUAAAAGAUGUCCCUAUUUUGCUUCUUAUAGUUUGAAAGCUAUACUGGUCAGUAAUUUGGGGCAUCUCCUCUAAGUGAUGUUUAAUGUCUCCUAUAGUUGUUUUGUGUCAAUUCGACCAAGGAUUUUGUUAUCUGGAACUGUAACUGUUGGCAUAGAGACUGACUGUUGUGGCAUAGUGCGACGUCUCACAAGGUGGAUUCAGAUUUGGUUGUCACGAUGCACAAGUGGUGGGUGUAGUACCGUUGUGUUGUCCUUGUAUAUAAACAUCCACCAAAAGGGAUUGGCAUCUAACGUUAAGAAAUUAUGUCAAAACGUAGCUGGCAGGCUUUCUAUUUCAGGCCCCCAUUGUAUAACUGUUUAGGCUUUAAGCUGGAUGCAUCUCUGUGAAGUGUGGAUAUUGGGGCAGAGUUGGAUUAUCAUUAGCCAUGGACUUUGUAAAGAGUAUAUGUCCAUUUUGCCAAGACAAGGACUAUUUUUUUUUCUACUUUAACUUGUUGAAUCAUCAGUAUUUGUUUCCACUCUUUAUAUUGAAAUCCACACAUAUUAGAAAGGAACAUCAUGUUAUGUGUAGAAGAGAGUCCUGGUUUUGAGAGGAAAUGUCAUGCGACUCAAGUACCAUGUUUAGAUGAUUGAUUUCUUUUUAAACUUGCAUUGUAUGCAUCGCAUUGGGCUUGCAGUCCAAAUGAGUGAUGAUGUCAUAAUGAGAUUUUGUCACUCACUUUGGGAUCAUCUAAUCUUUUUUUAUUAGUGUUUGAUGAUGGCAGUUUCUUGUGUGUUGUCAUUGCACCCAAGUGCUGUUUCUUGGCUUUGAGCCGUUAGUUGAUUGUAUUCCUGGUAUGAGAAUCAAGGAAUUUCGAGGCGCAUUAGAAUAAAAAAUGCGGAAGGAAACAAUAGUGAAUUGAUGUGAUGAUGAGUCCAUUUUAGCCGAAAUAAUGUUGUCGAUAGUGACCACAGCGGGAUUUUAACAUAGUCCAUUUCAGGUUCCCUCUGUUUCAAAGUGUAAAUGUAUUUCUAUCAGUUAAAGACAAGCAAGUUAUAAGUAAUUAUUACGCUGCUAAAAUUGAAAUUGAAACUUGAAAUUGAAUUGAACUAGAUUAUUACAUCAAGCAAUGUACUCCAGAAUACUAUUAAUAACUGGAGUCAAAGAUGACUGCAUCUGAUUGACCUAGACUAUAGCUUAUUCCUUCAGCGUACUAUCGCUUUCUCAAGUCAAGUCAAGCAACAAUUCAUGGGGCUCACUCAAUCAGGUGGGCGGCGCUAUCCAAUUCUAUUCUGAUUUCCUACUGAACUAUGUUGUUGUAGACUAUAAAAGAAGAAGCUGCAGUUGGUCAUGGAUUUAGAUUUGGCAUGUGUUUAUCUUGACUGCUCAGGGUGGAUGAAUUGUAGUUUUAUGCAUGUAACUCAGUCUGCUUGGACAACACUAGCAUGUUACUAUGUACUACUACUGUUCAAGAAGUUUCAUGAGUUGCUAGUGCCGCACUUCUCUAGUUUCAUUGAUGGUGUUUAACAGUACUUGCCCUUGUAUCCCUUAUUCAAUCUCGGAUUUCAUCAUAAAUCAUAAUGGACUACUAUUCUGUUGAAUGUUGAUUGGCGCACUAUUCUGUUGUUGCCAAGUAGAGGAAUAAGAGGAUAUAUGAAGUUUAAUAAUGAUGUUUCAUGCAAGUGGGGUUACCCAAUGUUGGCAAAUCAACUUUCUUUAACAUAGUAACAAAGGCGGGCUCCCACGCUGGCAACUCUAGGCUUGCGAUGAAGAAGAUCAAGGCUGAGAAGGACCCCAACAAGCCCACGUGUCCCCGAGCGCUUUUUUCAUCUUCAUCUGAGUCCCAGUCUCGGUUCUUGGUUCGAUUCAUGUUGCUUCUGUGGUGUGGUGUCGCGUACUGACCGAGGAUUUGGUGCAUGUUUCAUCUUUGCAGGGACAACUUCAGGAAGGAGUACAAGGAGAAUCACCCCGACAUCAAGAAGGUCUCCGUGAUCGGCAAGGCCGGUGGUGAGAAGUGGAAGUCCAUGAGUGAUGCUAUAAGUUGCACGUCUCCCCUCCCCUCUCUGUUACCGCUCAAUUGGGUGUUGGUUUACUCGUUUCUACCGCUUUGUCCCCCAUCCGCCUCUGUCUCGUUGUUCGUUCAAACUGGUGGCGCUGCGAGAUGAGUUUCCUCGUUAAUUCCGUGUCCUGAUAUGGUUUAGCUUGGUUGAAUUACAGAUCGGCAAGGCCGGUGGUGAGAAGUGGAAGUCCAUGAGUGAUGCUAUAAGUUGCAUGUCUCCCCUCCCCUCUCUGUUACCGCUCAAUUGGGUGUCAGUUUACUCGUUUCUAUCUUAGUUUGCCUAGUGUUCGAACCAGUUGGUCAGUUAGAUUUUGAAUGGUAGUAGCAGCAAACUGAUUUUUAUCAAAUAUAUCUCUAUUACCGCUCAAUUCGGUGCCGGUUUUCCAAUGGCAGUAGCAGCACACUGAUUUUUAUCAAUUAUAUCUUAUGCGAAGUUUAAGCGUAAUGUGUUGCAGUGAAGUAUUUUGCAUGACUUGCACUUGUGCAAUUAAUAUUCAUAUUGUGUCUAUGUUUUCUUGUAUGAAUGAGUAUCUCAUUUUGACUAGCUGGAGAACGAAAAGCAUGGUACUAGCUGAAUUUCUGUUGUCAUUUUAAAUGACUGUCCUUUUUUGAAACCCUUCCUAAUUUGUUUGCAGCCCUUCCUAAUUUUUUGUUCGUGUUCUAUUUGGAAAUGGAUGCAGCAGGUGCUCUUCUCUUGCACACGUCUGGCACCGACUCCGGCGCGGUGGUGCUUCUUGAGGUGACUGGCAUGAUGGCGGUUAUGUACGGCGGCGACCACAAGCCCUCCGCUGUGAGUAGAUGUUGAUGAUGCCAACUGGCUUGGCUGCUACCGUGAUGCAUGCGCUGGUCAAGCAAGACACAUGCAUAUACGUACAUGUCAGCAUAGUAGCAGAUAUUCCCUCUGUUCCUGCUAUAUUCAUGUGUAAAUGUAUUUCUGAGAUGAUUUUGUUGUGUUAUGUAAACCUGGGAGAUGUCUUAUGUGAUGUGAUAUGAUGCAUGAUUUCAA